rnacentral:rRNA from 1 species
AACGAACGCUGGCGGCAUGCCUAACACAUGCAAGUCGAACGAUUGCCUUCGGGUGAUAGUGGCGCACGGGUGCGUAACGCGUGGGAAUCUGCCCUUGGGUUCGGAAUAACAGCUGGAAACGGCUGCUAAUACCGGAUGAUAUCGCGAGAUCAAAGAUUUAUCGCCUGAGGAUGAGCCCGCGUUGGAUUAGGUAGUUGGUGGGGUAAAGGCCUACCAAGCCGACGAUCCAUAGCUGGUCUGAGAGGAUGAUCAGCCACACUGGGACUGAGACACGGCCCAGACUCCUACGGGAGGCAGCAGUGGGGAAUAUUGGACAAUGGGCGCAAGCCUGAUCCAGCAAUGCCGCGUGAGUGAUGAAGGCCCCAGGGUUGUAAAGCUCUUUUACCCGGGAAGAUAAUGACUGUACCGGGAGAAUAAGCCCCGGCUAACUCCGUGCCAGCCGCCGCGGUAA